rnacentral:lncRNA from 1 species
UUGAGUUCGGAUCGGUGUUGACGUUGCGCCGGAGAGCCGUUCGAGAGUGUGGACGUCGCGGUUGCGCCGUUGGAGGCCGGGCGAGCCCGUGAUUUUCUUUCCUUUCGACUUCUCGCCGUGGUUGGAUUAGCGUUUCGAGGUGGGUUGAAGUUUACCGAAAUUGCCGGAAUACCUCCUAAGUUUUUAUAUCGUCGACAUGUAUCAUUUGCGUAUUUUCCUUGCUAGUAUUCGAAUUCAUGGAUUAGUGUUUAAAUCUGAAUUUGGAGAUAAGCUAGUAGUUUAAUUUUACAUGUUGGAUUUGGAUUUGACUUAGGAGAAAACAUAUAGAUUCUAUACUGUCACUUUUUGAAAAUUACCAGAUUUAGCUUUAGGAGCUGUGGUUUGUUUGUAUCGUCGCUGUUAGUAUGCGAUGGAUACCAAGAUUAGUGUAGGAUGAGUUUACGCUCGUGCGAUGGAUACCCAGAUUAGCUUUAGCAGCUCAUUAUCUUAUGGUUGUUGGCGUGCCCGGAGAAACGUGUAAUCCGUGGCGUAAUAGCAUUUGUAAAAUUUUUUAUUUUACAAAGGUGUCUAUAAAAUU